AAUAAACGCUGGCGGCGUGCCUAACACAUGCAAGUCGAGCGAGAAAGCUCCUUCGGGAGUUAGUAAAGCGGCGAACGGGUGAGCAACACGUGAGAAUCUACCCUUUAGUGAAGAAUACCCUCGAGAAAUCGAGGCUAAUACUGCAUACGUCCCUUCGGGGAGAAAGAUGGCCUCUUUGCUAUCGCUAAAGGAUGAGCUUGCGUACUAUUAGCUAGUUGGCGGGGUAAAGGCCCACCAAGGCAAUGAUGGUUAACCGGCCUGAGAGGGUGUACGGUCACACUGGAACUUAGACACGGUCCAGACUCCUACGGGAGGCAGCAGUGAGGAAUCUUGCGCAAUGGGCGAAAGCCUGACGCAGCGACGCCGCGUGGAGGAUGACGGUUUUCGGAUUGUAAACUCCUGUUAAGCGGGAAGAAAGCCUUGUUUCUAAUACAAGCAAGGUAUGACGGUACCGCUAGAGAAAGCACCGGCUAA
rnacentral:rRNA from 1 species